CAGGAGUGAUCUGUUUGGCUGGGGUUGGUCAGGAGAAGAACAACGUUCUUGGUAUAGUAGGCUUAGCAUAAAAGACGCACAAGCUUUCCAUGUUGCAUCAAAUGAUACCUUCUUGUUCGAUGAUUUGAUGAAGUGUCUCGAUAAUAUAAUAUUACAGAGAAAGAUCCCACUUGAAGAAAUAAUAGGCCAGAGAAGGUAUAAGAGGAUGAUUGGAAAUGCACCUGAAGAAAGUGGAGGUAUUAUUGGUGAUCCUCCGAAUAUAAGGUCCAAGGGUGCACCUAAAAAACCAAGAAAGGUGGUCCAGAAAUUAUGAAAAAUGAUAGACCAAAAUCUUUUAACGAAAAAUAUUUUGGUCCUUUGUGCAGCCUAUGUCACAAUCCGGGUCAUAACAAGGCAACAUGCAGUAAGAGGUACGUUUUACACAAAUUAAGUUUUUCAAAUGAUGUAUUUUAUUGACUUUAUUUUCUAAAAAAUAUUUUAUAUUUAUUAUGUAGGUACGAACGGUAGACAUGAUGCUUCAUUUGUUAAAAGAAGACAAUAUGAGACAUUUGUUAUUUCAAUAAAAUUAUGUUAUACUUGA
rnacentral:lncRNA from 1 species